rnacentral:snoRNA from 1 species
CCCGCCACUUUGCUGGUCUGACUGUGGCUACUGCAAAGUCCAGUGGAGGCUUAAAGUGACCCAGCUUUAGGAAACAGAGCGGUCCUCAUCGAUGGGCUGCUCUGUGCCGUAAAGCAUGGAACAGAC